AGGAGUUUCAAGCAUGACAGCAUCCAUUUUCUGCCACAAGAAUACAUUAGCAUGGGAUAAUGGAAUAGGACCCUGUCCUCCUAUUUUCAGUUGGUUUUGGCAGCGCGAGGACUAGGGUAAUGAUUAAUAGGGAUAGUUGGGGGCAUUAAUAUUUAAUUGUCAGAGGUGAAAUUCUUGGAUUUAUGAAAGAUUAACUUCUGCGAAAGCAUCUGCCAAGGAUGUUUUCAUUAAUCAAGAACGAAAGUUAGGGGAUCGAAGACGAUCAGAUACCGUCGUAGUCUUAACCAUAAACGAUGCCGACCAGCGAUUAGGAGACGUUGAAUACAAAACACCACCAUCGGUGCGGUCGUCCUUGGCGUCUCGGUUUCGGCCGGGGUGCGGGGACGGCUUAGCCCGGUGGCACCGGUGAAUGACUCCCCUAGCAGCUUGUGAGAA
rnacentral:rRNA from 1 species